rnacentral:rRNA from 1 species
UACGUAGGGGGCAAGCGUUGUCCGGAUUUAUUGGGCGUAAAGAGCGUGUAGGCGGCCAAACAGGUCAGCUGUGAAAACUCGAGGCUCAACCUCGAGACGUCGGUUGAAACCGUUUGGCUAGAGUCCGGAAGAGGAGAGUGGAAUUCCCGGUGUAGCGGUGAAAUGCGCAGAUAUCGGGAAGAACACCCGUGGCUAAGGCGGCUCUCUAGUACGGUACUGACGCUGAGACGCGAAAGCGUGGGGAGCGAACAGG